CCCUUAGAUGUUCUGGGCCGCACACGCGCUACACUGAAGGAGGAAGCGUGUACUCCUGGAUCGAAAGAUUUGGGUAACCCGCGAAUCUCCUUCGUGCUAGGGAUUGAGGUUUGCAAUUAUCCUUCAUGAACGAGGAAUUCCCAGUAAGUGCAAGUCAUAAGCUUGCGCUGACUACGUCCCUGCCCUUUGUACACACCGCCCGUCGCUACUACCGAUUGAAUGAUUUAGUGAGGACUUCGGACUGGGACCGAUGCGGCUUUCGGGCUGCGUCGGUAUUCUGGAAAGAUGUCCAAACUGUAUCAUUUAGAGGAAGUAAAAGUCGUAACA
rnacentral:rRNA from 1 species